UGUGCCCCCAGCCGCGGUAAUACGUAGGGUGCGAGCGUUGUCCGGAAUUACUGGGCGUAAAGAGCUCGUAGGUGGUUUGUCGCGUUGUUCGUGAAAACUCACAGCUUAACUGUGGGCGUGCGGGCGAUACGGGCAGACUGGAGUACUGCAGGGGAGACUGGAAUUCCUGGUGUAGCGGUGGAAUGCGCAGAUAUCAGGAGGAACACCGGUGGCGAAGGCGGGUCUCUGGGCAGUAACUGACGCUGAGGAGCGAAAGCGUGGGGAGCGAACAGGAUUAGAUACCCUGGUAGUCCACGCCGUAAACGGUGGGUACUAGGUGUGGGUUCUUUCCUAAGGAUCCGUGCCGUAGCUAACGCAUUAAGUACCCCGCCUGGGGAGUACGGCCGCAAGGCUAAAACUCAAAGGAAUUGACGGGGACCCGCACAAGCGGUGGAGCGUGUGGUUUAAUUCGACGCCACGCGAAGAACCUUACCAAGGCUUGACAUCCUGCGAAGGUCGCCGAAAGGCGACUGUGCCUUUUGGAACGCAGUGACAGGUGAUGCAUGGCCGUCGUCAGCUCGUGUCGUGAGAUGUUGGGUUAAGUCCCUUAACGAGCGCAACCCUUGUCGCAAGUUGUACGUAUCUUGCGAGACUGCCUCGGCAACGG
rnacentral:rRNA from 1 species